AAGUUGAGCGCUGAAGGUUGGUACUUGUACCGACUGGAUGAGCAGCGAACGGGUGAGUAACGCGUGGGGAAUCUGCCUUUGAGCGGGGGACAACAUUUGGAAACGAAUGCUAAUACCGCAUAAAAACUUUAAACACAAGUUUUAAGUUUGAAAGAUGCAAUUGCAUCACUCAAAGAUGAUCCCGCGUUGUAUUAGCUAGUUGGUGAGGUAAAGGCUCACCAAGGCGAUGAUACAUAGCCGACCUGAGAGGGUGAUCGGCCACAUUGGGACUGAGACACGGCCCAAACUCCUACGGGAGGCAGCAGUAGGGAAUCUUCGGCAAUGGACGAAAGUCUGACCGAGCAACGCCGCGUGAGUGAAGAAGGUUUUCGGAUCGUAAAACUCUGUUGGUAGAGAAGAACGUUGGUGAGAGUGGAAAGCUCAUCAAGUGACGGUAACUACCCAGAAAGGGACGGCUAACUACGUGCCAGCAGCCGCGGUAAUACGUAGGUCCCGAGCGUUGUCCGGAUUUAUUGGGCGUAAAGCGAGCGCAGGUGGUUUAUUAAGUCUGGUGUAAAAGGCAGUGGCUCAACCAUUGUAUGCAUUGGAAACUGGUAGACUUGAGUGCAGGAGAGGAGAGUGGAAUUCCAUGUGUAGCGGUGAAAUGCGUAGAUAUAUGGAGGAACACCGGUGGCGAAAGCGGCUCUCUGGCCU
rnacentral:rRNA from 1 species